rnacentral:rRNA from 1 species
CCAUGCAGUCGACGAUGACCACUUCGGUGGGGAUUAGUGGCGAACGGGUGAGUAACACGUGGGCAAUCUGCCCUGCACUCUGGGACAAGCCCUGGAAACGGGGUCUAAUACCGGAUACUGACCAUUGCAGGCAUCUGUGAUGGUCGAAAGCUCCGGCGGUGCAGGAUGAGCCCGCGGCCUAUCAGCUUGUUGGUGAGGUAGUGGCUCACCAAGGCGACGACGGGUAGCCGGCCUGAGAGGGCGACCGGCCACACUGGGACUGAGACACGGCCCAGACUCCUACGGGAGGCAGCAGUGGGGAAUAUUGCACAAUGGGCGAAAGCCUGAUGCAGCGACGCCGCGUGAGGGAUGACGGCCUUCGGGUUGUAAACCUCUUUCAGCAGGGAAGAAGCGAAAGUGACGGUACCUGCAGAAGAAGCGCCGGCUAACUACGUGCCAGCAGCCGCGGUAAUACGUAGGGCGCGAGCGUUGUCCGGAAUUAUUGGGCGUAAAGAGCUCGUAGGCGGCUUGUCACGUCGGUUGUGAAAGCCCGGGGCUUAACCCCGGGUCUGCAGUCGAUACGGGCAGGCUAGAGUUCGGUAGGGGAGAUCGGAAUUCCUGGUGUAGCGGUGAAAUGCGCAGAUAUCAGGAGGAACACCGGUGGCGAAGGCGGAUCUCUGGGCCGAUACUGACGCUGAGGAGCGAAAGCGUGGGGAGCGAACNGGAUUAGAUACCCUGGUAGUCCACGCCGUAAACNGUGGGCACUANGUGUGGGCANCAUUCCACGUUGUCCGUGCCGCAGCUAACGCAUUAAGUNCCCCGCCUGGGGAGUACGNCCGCAAGGCUAAAACUCAAAAGGAAUUGACGGGGGCCCGCACAAGCGGCGGAGCAUGUGGCUUAAUUCGACGCAACGCGAAGAACCUUACCAAGGCUUGACAUACACCGGAAACGUCUGGAGACAGGCGCCCCCUUGUGGUCGGUGUACAGGUGGUGCAUGGCCGUCGUCAGCUCGUGUCGUGAGAUGUUGGGUUAAGUCCCGCAACGAGCGCAACCCUUGUCCCGUGUUGCCAGCAGGCCCUUGUGGUGCUGGGGACUCACGGGAGACCGCCGGGGUCAACUCGGAGGAAGGUGGGGACGACGUCAAGUCAUCAUGCCCCUUAUGUCUUGGGCUGCACACGUGCUACAAUGGCCGGUACAAUGAGCUGCGAUACCGCGAGGUGGAGCGAAUCUCAAAAAGCCGGUCUCAGUUCGGAUUGGGGUCUGCAACUCGACCCCAUGAAGUCGGAGUCGCUAGUAAUCGCAGAUCAGCAU